rnacentral:rRNA from 1 species
AAUACGUAGGGUGCGAGCGUUAAUCGGAAUUACUGGGCGUAAAGUGUGCGCAGGCGGCCGCGCAAGUCGAGUGUGAAAUCCCCGGGCUUAACUUGGGAAUUGCGCUCGAAACUACGUGGCUGGAGUGUGGCAGAGGAAGGUGGAAUUCCACGUGUAGCGGUGAAAUGCGUAGAGAUGUGGAGGAACACCGAUGGCGAAGGCAGCCUUCUGGGCCAACACUGACGCUCAUGCACGAAAGCGUGGGGAGCAAACAGGA